rnacentral:rRNA from 1 species
GACGAACGCUGGCGGCGUGCCUAAUACAUGCAAGUAGAACGCUGAAGGAGGAGCUUGCUCUUCUGGAUGAGUUGCGAACGGGUGAGUAACGCGUAGGUAACCUGCCUGGUAGCGGGGGAUAACUAUUGGAAACGAUAGCUAAUACCGCAUAAGAGUAGAUGUUGCAUGACAUUUACUUAAAAUGUGCAAUUGCAUCACUACCAGAUGGACCUGCGUUGUAUUAGCUAGUUGGUGGGGUAACGGCUUACCAAGGCGACGGUACAUAUCCGACCUGAGAGGGUGAUCGGGCAAACUGGGACUGAGAAACGGCCCAGACUCCUACGGGAGGCAGCAGUAGGGAAUCUUCGGCAAUGGACGGAAGGCUGACCGAGCAACGCCGCGUGAGUGAAGAAGGGUUUCGGAUCGUAAAGCUCUGUUGUAAGAGAAGAACGAGUGUGAGAGUGGAAAGUUCACACUGUGACGGUAUCUUACCAGAAAGGGACGGCUAACUACGUG